UACGUAGGGUGCAAGCGUUAAUCGGAAUUACUGGGCGUAAAGCGUGCGCAGGCGGUUUUGUAAGUCUGUCGUGAAAUCCCCCGGGCUCAACCUGGGAAUUGCGAUGGAGACUGCAAGGCUAGAAUCUGGCAGAGGGGGGUAGAAUUCCACGUGUGAGCAGUGAAAUGCGUAGAGAUGUGGAGGAACACCGAUGGCGAAGGCAGCCCCUGGGCUGACACUGACGCUCAGGCACGAAAGCGUGGGGAGCAAACAGG
rnacentral:rRNA from 1 species